ACAUCAGUGUGUUGUCAGUAUUAUUUUCAUCCUAAGUCCAAAACACAGCACUAUACCAACUACUAUGAAGAAAAUAAACUCCAUCCUGGCCAAAACCAGGACAGUUUCCAUUCCCAAUUAUAUACCAUUUAUGUCAUAUUCAGGUCUUAUUAUUUCCAAUACAUCCUGUUUAAUCACCACCACCCUUCCUGUCCUUUGAUACAUACACACAGCUAUAAUUACCUUCCAUCUAAAAUGUCCACUGACUUCCUUUAGUCCAUGAUUUCAGGCUCCAUCUAUCAUAAUAGUUCUUCAGGACAGGAGCAAUUGUGACUCGGAAAGUUGUAUACUAAAGCCAGCUUCAGUUCAACCAUCAUUGCACUUGCCUGGAUCCUUACAAGAUUAAUUCUUCAUUAGUUAGUGACUCUUACUGUAAUACCAUUGACAUGAUAUCUAACAGCCACAGCAGUGAUGGCAUACAGAACAAUUGGCAUCAUGCAAUUCAAAUCUUGGGCUGUUCUUACUCAAAAUCAAAUCCCCCUGAAGUACACAUCAAAAUUCCUCACCCUUCUACAUUACUCACCAAGUACACACAGGUCAUUGAGCAAAAGGAAUCCCAUGGAUAGGUUUGCCUUUUCCUGAAGUGGGAAUAACCCCCUACUGUCUUUCUCAGACAGUUUUUCACAUGCACUACAGAGGCUUUAUCUUCUUCUACAAUACAAAAAGGUUUUGACUGGGCAGGACCAGCUUGAUUGGCAGAUCCCCUAGUGUUAACUAACCAAGAGGAUUUUACGAGAUUUCUGUUCAAUGUCCCAGCUCUCCAUGUACUUUUUUUAACAGUCCAUUGUAUCUUAUGAUUUUUUCAGAGGCUGGUGCAUGAUAGGGAAUGUGAUAUACCCAGCCAAAAUCAGGAUGGCUGUCAGCUCUGUUGGUGUAUACCUCACAGCAUCCAGAACUAUGAGACUACAGCAGAAGCCACAUCAGAGAGGUGUCCUGAGAAUUUCAGCAGUGGGAAGAGUCUAUCUGCAUAUAGGAUAAUACAAACUGAAUCACAAUUAGAGAGUGCUAGUCUUGAGGCUGAUGCAUUUUAAAGUCACUUUCAGUGUGAGCCAUAGUGUCAGGAAAUUUGCAGGAUUUAUAAUCUUCCUGGUAUGAAUAAAAAGCUGAGAACAAGCUUUACGGAGAUUAAACAUCAUUGUUUAAUGCAACAGUCUGGUUCAAAAGUCUUCAGAAAAGACUACUAAUUGGCAGAUGAAAGCCCACCACUCUUCCUACACCACGAGUGUUUAUGGAUCUGAAGAAUCAUUUUAGUAAAGAAGUGACAGGAUGAAGUUGUCUUUUCCCCAGCCUCUGGGAUUCUGCAACAAGGAUGGAUGGUGCAAGGUGUGUAACAGCAGGAGGCAGUGGAUCACAGGGCAUGG